rnacentral:rRNA from 1 species
UACGGGGGGUCCAAGCGUUGUUCGGAAUCACUGGGCGUAAAGCGCAGGUAGGUGGCUUUUCAAGUCUGUUGUGAAAGCCCCAGGGCCUAACCCUGGAAGUGCAGCAGGAUACUGUUAAGCUUGAGUAUGGGAGAGGAUAGUGGAAUUCCUGGUGUAGUGGUGAAAUACGUAGAUAUCAGGAGGAACACCGGUGGCGAAGGCGGCUAUCUGGCCCAAUACUGACGCUGAGCUGCGAAAGCGUGGGGAUCAAACAGG